CAUCAAACAAACGGAGUGAAAGUGCACGAUGCCUGGUUUGCUGACGAAGAUCGAGUCCGUAAAACAGUUGGUUUGUUGGAGAAGCCAGUUGUCCAGCAUCCUAAUCCUAGAGAGCUAACUUGUGGCAUCUGUUUUGAAACGUAUCCUCGUACUAAGAUUCAAACUGCUACUUGUGGCCAAUCCUUAUUGUUUUUCUUGCUGGGCAGGAUAUAUUAGCACAUCUACUAAUGAUGGCCCUGAAUGUUUGAUGAUGUCCCGAUCCCACUUGUGGCUCUGCUAUUGAUCAAGACAUGAUUAAUCUCUUAGUACCUGAUGAAGAUAAAGAAAAGUAUGCCCGUUACCUUCUUAGGUCUUAUAUUGAAGACAACAAGAAGACCAAGUGGUGUCCUGCUCCAGGCUGUGAAUAUGCUGUCAAUUUUGACGCUGGCAGUGGAAAUUAUGAUGUAUCUUGCUUCUGUUCAUAUAGCUUUUGCUGGAAUUGCACAGAGGAGGCUCAUCGUCCAGUUGAUUGUGGCACUGUGUCAAAGUGGAUUCUGAAAAAUAGUGCAGAAUCUGAAAACAUGAACUGGAUACUUGCUAACUCAAAGCCAUGUCCGAAGUGCAAGCGACCAAUUGAAAAAAAAUCAAGGGUGCAUGCACAUGACGUGUACUCCGCCUUGUAAAUUUGAAUUUUGCUGGCUAUGCUUUGGUGCAUGGUCAGAUCAUGGUGAAAGGACUGGGGGUUUUUAUGCUGGCAAUCAAUAUGAGGCAGCAAAACAAGAUAUGAUGAAACUGAAAGAAGAGAAAUGGCAAAGAAUUCAUUGGAGGGGUACACGCAUUAUUAUGAGCGAUGGGCCAGCAAUCAAUCCGUACGCACUACUUUAUACUUAUCAGUAUUGUAGGAAAAUGUGCACUACUUUAUACUUAUCAGUAUUGUAGGAAAAUGUUUUCUUCACAUAUCUAAAUUCAUUGAUUAGUUUUAUAUUUGGAUAGUAUUCUUACUAUGUUAUAUGCUUUAUGAUUAAUUUUCUUUCUAUGGCAGUCGAGGCAAAAAGCUCUUGCAGAUCUACACCAGAUGCAAACUGUUCAUGUAUGUUUUAUAACAUUUGCCAUAUUUUGCAUUACCUUGUACCUGGCUUUUGCAACUCUUUCAGAAAAAAUGGUAUAGAAGAUUGCACAUUUUUCUUUUUAGUAUUACAUGAUGCUGCUUUUGUAGUCCAUUGAUUAUUUCAGUGUCAAGAGUAUGUUUAAAAUUGAAGCUCUUAAACUGCUGCUCUAGAAUCUUCUUUCUUCUAAGUAGAGCCUAAUAUGAGGUUGCGGUGAUCGUAAAAUCACCAUGUAAUCCUUGUGUGUGGCAGAUUGAAAAGCUUAGUGACACAAUGCCAGCCUGAGUCACAGCUUAAGU